rnacentral:rRNA from 1 species
GAUGAACGCUGGCGGCGUGCCUAAUACAUGCAAGUCGAGCGAACGGACGAGAAGCUUGCUUCUCUGAUGUUAGCGGCGGACGGGUGAGUAACACGUGGAUAACCUACCUAUAAGACUGGGAUAACUUCGGGAAACCGUAGCUAAUACCGGAUAAUAUUUUGAACCGCAUGGUUCAAAAGUGAAAGACGGUCUUGCUGUCACUUAUAGAUGGAUCCGCGCUCCAUUAGCUAGUUGGUAAGGUAACGGCUUACCAAGGCAACGAUGCAUAGCCGACCUGAGAGGGUGAUCGGACACACUGGAACUGAGAAACGGUCCAGACUCCGAGGGGAGGCAGCAGUAGGGAAUCUUCCGCGAUGGGCGAAAGCCUGACGGAGCAACGCCGCGUGAGUGAUGAAGGUCUUCGGAUCGUAAAACUCUGUUAGUAGGGAAGAACAUAUGUGUAAGUAACUGUGCACAUCUUGACGGUACCUAAUCAGAAAGCCACGGCUAACUACGUG